rnacentral:tRNA from 2 species
GGGCGCUUAGCUCAGUUGGUAGAGCAUCUGCCUUACAAGCAGAGGGUCAUAGGUUCGAAUCCUGUAGCGCCCACCA